rnacentral:lncRNA from 1 species
UAUAUUUUCUUAUCUUUUCUUGCACAUGGUGCCAGAUGCACCAUUCAUUAUUUUGUUUUCUUUUCUUUUCUUGCAUAUGGUGGUGCUGAUCCACCAAGAUUCCACCAUUUCUUCUUCUUUCCAGACUGGUUUAUCCCCUUUCAUUUUUUUCUAUAUAUUCCCCACAUGGUGCAAGGAGGAAAUGCAGAGGAGGAUGAGGACGAACGGAGAGCUGCAGUCGAGGCUUCAUGACCGACUGGUCGUUUGAUGAUGGUUAUUGAAGUUCUUCACCAUUGCUGUUUGCCACGGACGGAGAGCUAUUGAAACUGCCAUUCCUGUUUGCUACAAGGGACAACGCUUGCUGCGGAAGGGAGUGUGGCUCGUUGUUGAUGGUUCUGCCGUGUUUCUUGCUGCUGAAGCUGAUGGGUAGAAGGCUAAGGCUUGCAGAUGAGGACGAGUGAGCUGGGGUAAGUCCCGACCACUUAGUGGAGCUGCCAGAGCCGAUGGCUUCGAUGGCAGUUGCAACAGCAACGCUGAUCUUCGCAUCUGCCAAAGGAGGGUGCUGGAGUUGUAGCUGAGGCUGGUAGAGCACAACAAAGACAACCCUUUCCGAAUGCACGGAGGAGAUGGCGUUUAUGGCUUUAACGUCGAACACGUAUGAGCCGCAGCGAACUUCUUCAAAUCCUUACAGUUCUGCGUGACGCAAUCAUGUUGAAGUCGGUGAUUUCCCGGCAGCCGGUGAGGAGGAGGAUGCAGAGCUGGUGGCGACCGAGAC